CGAUGAAUACGUCCCUGUUCUUUGUACACACCGCCCGUCGUUAUCGAAGAUGAAGACAGGCGCGAACGAUCUACCAGAAAGUGAGCGCAGGUCUUUAGAUCUGAUACAAGUCGUAACAAGGUAGCUGUAGGUGAACCUGUAGCUGG
rnacentral:rRNA from 1 species